GACGAACGCUGGCGGCGUGCUUAACACAUGCAAGUCGAACGGUGAAGCGCCUUCCUUUUUGGUGGGUGUGGAUGAGUGGCGAACGGGUGAGUAACACGUGAGUAACCUGCCCCCUUCUUCUGGAUAACCGCAUGAAAGUGUGGCUAAUACGGGAUAUUCUGGGUCUGUCGCAUGAUGGGUCUGGGAAAGAUAUUGUUUCUGUGGGGGAUGGGCUCGCGGCCUAUCAGCUUGUUGGUGGGGUGAUGGCCUACCAAGGCGGUGACGGGUAGCCGGCCUGAGAGGGUGGACGGUCACACUGGGACUGAGACACGGCCCAGACUCCUACGGGAGGCAGCAGUGGGGAAUAUUGCACAAUGGGCGCAAGCCUGAUGCAGCGACGCCGCGUGAGGGAUGGAGGCCUGCGGGUUGUGAACCUCUUUCGCCAGUGAAGCAGGCCUGCCUCGUUUGUGGGUGGGUUGACGGUAGCUGGAUAAGAAGCGCCGGCUAACUACGUG
rnacentral:rRNA from 1 species